GGGGAAUAUUGGACAAUGGGGGAAACCCUGAUCCAGCAAUGCCGCGUGAGUGAUGAAGGCCUUAGGGUUGUAAAGCUCUUUUACCAGGGAUGAUAAUGACAGUACCUGGAGAAUAAGCUCCGGCUAACUCCGUGCCAGCAGCCGCGGUAAUACGGAGGGAGCUAGCGUUGUUCGGAAUUACUGGGCGUAAAGCGCGCGUAGGCGGCUAUUUAAGUCAGAGGUGAAAUCCCGGGGCUCAACCCCGGAACUGCCUUUGAAACUAGAUGGCUAGAAUCCUGGAGAGGCGAGUGGAAUUCCGAGUGUAGAGGUGAAAUUCGUAGAUAUUCGGAAGAACACCAGUGGCGAAGGCGACUCGCUGGACAGGUAUUGACGCUGAGGUGCGAAAGCGUGGGGAGCAAAC
rnacentral:rRNA from 1 species